CUCUAAUGGAUCUAACAAGAGUUGUUGAUCUUCAGUUUUCUCAGCUUUUUUUCUUGUUGUGAGGAUGGUAGUGACAACUUCCAAGCUCUCUUUACAUGUUGGAUCAGAAACCAGAAGUUGGUGUCUUUUUAGUACAUCUUAGUUUGUGGACUGAGAUUUGUACCCACAUAGACUGAUCUCUAUGGGUAUUGUUGAAAAUUCCCUGGCAGCUAUUCAAUUCAUACAGUGGUCUCCCAGAUCUAGUUUAUAGGAACCUGAGGCAAAGGGACAUUUAAAGAAUGGACCUCACCUGUAUGUGACAAAGGUGUAGGGAAGACAGAAACAGAAUCUUGACAUGGAAUCUGGGUCUCUGAUCACCGAUCAGACUUCCCUGGGCAUAAUUGGGUGGUGGAUUUUUGGUUACCUGAGGACAUCCCUGUGUGUCCCUGCAGAGCACAGACUGAGAUUCAAAGUUUGAGUGAGCGCUGGAACAGUGGCCCAGUGGCCCCCUGUCUGCUGUGCCUUUGCAGUGGUUGAUAUGUAUAAAGGAAGAGGCUUUCAUGGGAGAAAUUAUUUUGUACAGGUCCUGGGAGAAAUUGGAAUAUGCCACUUGUCCCCAAGCUAGGACACAGGGAUGAUGUCUCAGAGAGAGUAGGUAAAAGAUGAAAAGACUUCAUUUGUGUGGCAUGGAGGAUGGAGCGCAAGCAGACCUGUUUCUAGCACACGUGGGCACUUGUCUCAGAGGUUUGCAUUUGAGCAGGAGGCUCGUGGUGUGGGUGAAUAGUGCCUCGAUGAUGGCACGUUGGAGGCUGUGUGAAGGGGGAGGAGAAUACCUUUUCUUCUCACCGUAUCACAGAGGGGUCCUCCUUCACGUCUGAGGGUAUUUCAAGCUUUACUCCACGCACCCCCAUUUUUGGUUAACACCUGAGUCACAAGUGUUUCUAAAGACCAGUCUGGCCACAACUAGAAGGACCUACAACUAAAAAUACACUACUAUGUGCUGGAGGGAUUUGGGGAGAAAAAAAAUCAGGAAAAAAAAAAAAAAGACCAGUCUCUUUUCCCUCUGCUGACAAAUUUCUAGGGGCAUCAGUCUGUUCAUCUGUCAAGAAUGUGGAGGAACAGACAUAGAAAUUGCGUUUUCCAACUGAACUGGCUGUUAAUAAUUGGUCUGGUACCAUAAGUCACUAUGUUCUAUUUAGUUAAGGAACUUAUCAGGACAAAAAGAAGGAGACUUCUUGGCCAGCAGUCUGUUUAUCUUAUAAAUUAGUCUGAGUAAAAGCUAAAAGAAAAGGUAGGGGUACAUGCUGUUACUCAGCCUGGAGACAUCUGGUCAUAUGCCGAGCCAAACCCAUGUCUGUGUUUCGGCUCGACAAGCUUGGUGCUGUUCCUUCCAUGGUAACGGUUACAGAAUGUCCUUGGGUGGUGCCCAUGGAAGCUGGCUUGAAAAAGGAUGUGGGAGAAUGAAGAGGCCAUCAUCUAUUUCUUCAUUGUUUGGUGCAUUCUUCAUCCUCAUGGGCAUUCUCUAUGUCAGGCGGCUGCUCAGGCGCAUUCCAGUUGUGAAUGGUCCUGAAUGACUUCGGUGACCUUUCAGAGGGAUCUCGGCAGUACACCCCAAAGCACAUGAUCCUUGAAGGCUUCCCAAAUCCGUUGGUGCCAAAAAGAACCCAGCAUUUGGUGACUGUGAGUGAUGCUGAUCGUUCUGAAGAGCUUAUUGUGCUGUACCAACCGUCGUUCUGAUAAUCUGUAUAAUGUCUUAUUUCCUCUGCCUGAAUCUAAGCUCCUUGAGGCCAUGUCUCUUCCAUUUCUGUAUUUACCAUAUAGCCCAAAACUCAUGCGAAUGCACACUGAUUUCAUUUCUUUCUCUGAUAAAGUGAAAGAACCCAAAUUGUAUCUAUUGACUCAUCCUUAGCUUCACACACAUGACUUUCAAAUUUUGUUUUUGCCUAGCGCUCUCUUUUGUAGGACUGAAAACAAUGGUUUUGCUAGUACUGUGCUUAGCCGAGCAUUAAUGGCUCACACCACUGGGGGAGACACAUGAGUUGAUCAGUCCUAUAGGGAGGCAUUCUGCCUGUAAUUGUCAGGAAGGGCCCGUGCUUCUUUCAAUGAUGGCUGUGUUGCUGCUAAUAAUGAACCAGUCCUUGCUCUUGCUUGUCUUGACUCAGAGGCUGGUGUCUAUACCAUGCUCCCUCUGCCUCUGCCCCCACCAGGAUUUAUAGGCAGGCAUGAGUCAUCUGACCACAGAAGGUGGCAUUUCCAUAGCAGGACAAAGAUUAGCUGGCAUGCUUUGGGUCACCUCACGGUGCUAAUGUCCUUCCGUGGAGAUGGGUCACGUACAGCAAUUGAAGUGAACUUGAGCCCCUCCUGGGCGUUGGUCUUUCACAGGGACAGACUGUGGAUAUCUGUCAAUUCUUUUGGAUAUAUUCCCAUCUGUAAGGGCAGAUAAGGGAUAAUAAGUUACUGACCUCAAGUUCUCUUCUUUUUGAUUUCACUACUUUGCUCCUUAAAUAGGAAUUGCUCAAACUUGGCUUCUCAAGAAUUUGCCCAAUGUUACCGGCUAGGGGUGUUUCCUUGGCUUAGAACCCCUUCCCCCACGUUAUUUCUCUGGCUAGCUUCUACCCUUUCUAUAGAGCUCGGCAGAGACAGCACCUCCUUUCUGAAAACUCCCCCAAUCCCAGGCAAGGUGAAAGCCUGAAAAUUGUUUUAUUUUUUUUUAAAUUGUGGUAAAAAGCAUAUAACAUAAAUUUACCCUCUUAAUUUCAUUUUUUAUUAUUUAUUUAUUUUAAAGCUUGGCACCUGAGCUAACAUCUAUUGCUAUUUUUUUUCUUCUUCUCCCCAAAGCCCCCCACUACAGAGUUGUACAUUCCAGUUGUAGGUCCUUCUGGUUGUGCUAUGUGGGACGCCGUCUCAGCAUGACUUGAUGAGCAGUGCCAUGUCCACACUCAGGAUCUGAACUGGUGAAACCCUGGGCUGCCUAAGUGGAGCGUGCGAACUUAACCACUCAGCCACGGGGCCAGCCCCUACCCUCUCAAUUUUAAAUGUAUAGCACAGUACGACUAUCUGUGCACACUCUUGCACAGCACAUCUCCAGAACUUUUGCAUCCGGGAGACUGGAACUCUACCCAUUAAACUGUACCAACUUCCCCUUUUCCCCUCCCCCCAGCCCCUGGAGACUUCCUUUUGAUUUCCUGUUUCUGUGAAUUUGUCUACUCUAGAUACCUCAUAUAAGGGGAAUCAUGUAACAUUUGUCUUUUUGUGACUGGCUUAUUUCACUCAGCAUGAUGUCCUCCAGGUUCAUCUAUGUCAUGGCAUAUGACAGGAUUUCCUUCUUUUUUAAGGCUGAAUAAUAUUCCAUUAUAUGCCUAUAUGACAUCCCACAUCUUAUCCAUUCCUCCCUUGAUGGUCACUUGAGUUGCUUCCACCUCUUGGCUAUUGUGAAUAAUGCUGCAAUGAACAUAGGGGUGCAAACAUCUCUUCCAGAUCCUAUUUUCAAUUCUUUUGGAUAUACACCCAGGAGCGGGAUUAUUGGAUCAAACGGAAGGACCUCCAUACUGUUUUCCACAGCAUCUGCACCAUUUUACAAUCCCACCAACCCUGAAAAGGCUUGGAUUGCAGCACUACCACACUGUUUGAGAGGUCUGUUUCCUUGGCUUCCUCCUUCGCUCUUUGCUGAGCAUCCUCAGGCAUGAAUUUUGACUUUUUAUGUUCGUACUCCCAGAGCCUAGCACAGAGCCUGCUCAUAAUGGGCACUAAAACUUUUUUAGGAAGAGAGAGCAAUGUAAAACCCAAUUCAAGUCUCACUGAGGCUGACUAUUAGGAUCACCUUAAAAAUGCUCUACUUUUUCAGAAUUCCUGUUGUAGUCCGAGUUAAUACCCAUGGUUUGGCACAAAUGGCUCCCUAGUUGUUUGUGUGCCUUAUCUCUUCAGAUGGGCUGUAAGCUCAUCCAGAGCAGAAUUGAUUCCUUAAACUUGUCAUACAUCCCUUGAUGCCUCUCUCACUGUGUACAAACUACAUGAUGGAUCUCUCUGCCUUUGUCCUCAAGACACUGUGUCUUACUCGCCUUACUUUCUCUGUCAUUUGACAUAGUGCCUGGCACAUAAGUGGUGAUCAAUAAUAUUUGUAUUUAUUGAAUAAGUAGUAGAUUCUGGAGCCAUGGGGAGCUAAGCUCAAGAUCAGUUUUCCAGUGAAAUCUUGCUCAAUGUUCCCAUGAAGCUCUCUUUCUCUGUAGGUGUGAAACGCUUAUCAGCAUAGGCUACCUUGAAACGUCAAAUCUGGCAUCUCCAGAAAGCAGCCCAUAUACUCUCCUGGGGCCAGAACAGCUCUGAAACUAAAAGGAAACUAAGCAUCUCAUCUCAAAGCAACUUUUCAUGCUGUUUUAUUGUUCACCACCACCCAGAAGCCUGCGCUUCAGCAAAGUCAGUCUUGUGAUGAAGGGUAGAAGUCAGGAGUUGUGUACAAUUGGAUCUGAUUUCUUCCUGAUUCGAGUUCUGGAUUCCUUUCAUAGUCCUUUCUGGAUUUGAGUUCUGGAUUCCUUUCAGAUUCCUUCCUGGAUUUGAGUUUUAGAAGCCUUGGCUUCUUGAGGGGAUUACGCCAUAGGCAGUAGAGAGAAGCUGUUGCCUUUGAGAGAAGGAUAAUUACUCAGGAUUUGGAAAGGGACAGGAAUCUGUGGAUCUCAUGAAUGGGGGGCCCUGGUCUUCUCUCUCUGGCAACAUCCAGAAAGGUGGGGAGGCCACUGAGGGGAAUGGCUAUGUGGUGUACCAUGGAGGCUGGACCCCAGCAGCUUGAAGCUACCAUCUUGCUGCAGAUUCCUCUGCCUGAGCUUGGCGAGGAAGCCACAGGCUGCCAGACUUCAGUGGGCCAUGUGGGUGUGAACAGAUGAAUGUUUUCUUCUGUGCGCCUUUUUAUAAACUUGGAGAAGAUGUUGAACAGGAGGAAGCACCACAAUUUGACUCUUCACCAUCUUAGUGACUUGGAGUUGACUUUGAUUUAAGAAAAUAAAGUAAUGUGAUGAUUCAUAGAUGCCUAGAUUACGAGACUAAGAUUUAUUCCCAGCACGUGAGUGAGGCAUCUGGCACGGUUCCUGGAUGUUUAAGGGACUUGACAAAGAUUAUUUUCCUUCACCUUUAUUUGUAGGGAAUGGUCCACGCAUACUCUUUGAUUGUUUGAGAUACAUCCUGAAAAAAUAUUGAGUGUUGAUCAAAAUUUGGGGGAAAAAUUGACUUCUUUUAAACGUACUAGGGAAGCACCUCAUUUCUUAAAGUGAGGAAUUCUUGUUGAAGAAUUCUUGUUUAAACGGAAUUCUGCUAAUCUGGGGUUUCAGAUAGUUCACUUAACGUGAUAACAAGGAGAUUACAGAAAGCUGUCUUUUAUUCUUUUUUUUUUGAAAAGCACUGCUUAUGUGACUGUGAGUGAUAACCUGACUCAGCAGGACAAUGAGUCUGCCUUAAAGAGCAGCUCAGCUCCAAGGUCUCACCCGGGAAUUGCUGUGUCAUGGGGGUAGGCCGCAGAGGAAAUAGAGUUCUGACUUAUCACAUCACUCCAUCUUGAUAAGGGGAGCCACACUUCAAAUCACUCCUUCUGUUAUGAUGAAGCUGCAGGAAAUGAGAGACCUCCUGAUUCCAGUGCCAAGAGCUGGGCUGAGGGUCACUUGCUUUGCUAUCUGCCCUAAGUGGUUAACGGCUGACCAACCUCGGAAGUUCCUCAUGACGCAGUUUAGCGACUGGAUUGUCAUUGUGCUUUCUCUACUUCCUCAUGGGAGAGGAAUAGAGAAGAGUGCUAGUUUUAUUAUUUGUACAAAGCUGACAUACUUAGUCUUUUCCCAUACCUGUCUUCCCUUCGGGUAGGAAGCCAAAGCAAAAAACAAAAAAAAAGAAGAAUCUUGGUUUUAAAGUGGUCCUUUCUUGGCUUCUGAACUGGAGAAGUCAUCUGUGGAACUCAGAAAAAACCUAGGGUGGCUGGAAGGGCUUUUGGAUAUCCUACAUGCCAGUACUUUCUUCAUGGGUAAAAAGGAAGCUCAAGGUGAUGUGACAUUGGGACACGCCGCAGGUAACAGUAGGACAGGGCUGAGAUUGCAAUCAGUCCUCCUGAUGACUGGGCCAGCACAUGUUGUCAAAAUCAAGCAUAAGAAUGGCCUUGGAAAGCACAAAUAUUUGGUUUUUAACGACUAUUUACUCAUUAUCUUUUUUUUUUUUUUUAAAACCAGCUUAACAUCUUUAAGGAUUUAUGGACUGCUAUAGUCUUAUAAGAGUAAUAAAUAUGUUAUAUAUUGUGUUGACUCAUUUACAAAGCUAGCAGAAACCUAAUACAAAAAAGAAGAAGAAAAAAGAGAUAAAAGUCUAGACUGGUUUCCUUUAUAAAUAGAGAAGUGAAAAUUCUAAUAAAAAUAUGAUUAGAUGGGACCACAUUGCAUUAUUGCUCCAUGCAAUGAUAGUUUAGUAUUAAAGAAUGCAAUGAAGGUUUAAUAUUAAAAGUUUUAUUAAGUUAAAUAUCACAUAGAUGGGUUCAGCACAAAAAGCUCAUGACUUCCGUAAACACUGAAAUAGCGUUUAUUUACUCUUAAUUACAAGAAAAGAAAUCAGGAAAAUGAGAAGUAAGCGGUUACAGUGAGUCCUUGCCCGUGCGCGGGGAGCAGAGUGAAGUGACCCAGGUGCACGGCCAUGCCCUGUUUUCCAUUCGCUGCUGGCUGGACUCGAAUGAAAAGGAAAGUCCAGAGGAGGACAGAACCACAAGAUGGCAGGAUCCUGGGUCCCUGAACUACCUCAUGCUCACGGACAAUGAGCACUUACUUCAAUCAGUUUACUGAACAAACAGUAAAGCUGUGUUAUGUUUGAGACACUGUGCAUUUCAGUCUGGUCCACGCAUCCCCACAGCUUAGCCUACUCUGGGCUGCAUCCCGCGUCAUCCUUCAGGCCUCUGUUCCAGUAAGUAAUUCUCUCCAGGACGCUGCUACAGUUAGAUCGAUUGUAUCUAACACGCUCUUUAAUCUCUCAAAACGUUUAAUUUAAAUUGUCAUGUAUUCUUACAUGUAUGAAACUUCGUCCCUUUUCAAAUAUGCUUGGUCAUCCCUUAUAAUGUCUUGUUCCUUGUUCUUGCUAUCAAGCUUCUCAUUAAUUUCUUGAAGGAUAGGAAACAAUUUUAAAAAAAUACUCUGUAGCAGAUAAUUCCAGCGUCUAGGAAGUCCCGGCCAGCCUGAUUCUGCUCUCUGUGGCUCUUCGCUUCCUUUCAGAUGCUCUGAUCUGCUCUCUUCUGUGUUCGGAGGUCCUUUUAUUGUGGGCUGCUGCUUUUCCUGGUGACUCUACCUGUGGGUUUCUUGGAGGCCUGGGCUGAAGUGUAUCUGUCUAGAGAACGUCUGCUUCUGCCAGCUGCCCGGGAGUGCUACCAACCCUGACCGCUUUAAAUUAAAGAUCCAAAUGAGUCUUUUCAGAGGACACAGUGCCAAGAUCAAGAUAAGCAAGUUCUGUGCCCUUUUUUUCAGGUGAAUCAUUGAACAAAUGCUUCAUCAUAUCCUGAAGAUAAAUUCCCGGAAGCGGAAUUGCUGGAUCAAAGGUUAAGCGUUGUUAAGCUGCAGGACUAGACUGCCUGGCUGAAAGGGCUCACGUGGGUUAGUCACCAUCACAUAAGAAGAAGUCUGACCUGGAAGCAGGGGCUUCCAUGGUCAGUUCCCGCCCCAAUGAAGUCACGAAGGACCAGGCUCUCCCUUCUUCCGGCUCUGCCAUCUUUCGUGUGUUGGCGAUGUCUCCUGUCCCAGGAGUUUUGUGCUGGCAUCUAUGGAGCUACAUCUGGCUGACUUGUUAGCUUGCAGGGGUAAAAUCUCAAAUAUCUUCACAGAUUUUGACAGUUUUGAUGAUGAAGAUGGGCGGCUGACAGAGACACGGCUUUCUGGAAUCGAAAGGCUGAAGGCCUCGUGAACUGACUAACAGGAUUUGACAGAAGUCCGUAGAAUCAGUAGAAAAAUGGAAGAGGAAAACCUUUGAGCUUGGUCUAUGGACAUAUCAGUGCGGUGUGUGGGUGCAAAGCCCAAGUGGCCUGUAGCUAUGCUGUAGCAUGUGAGGAGUGGCCUUGAAAGACAGCAGUGAGGGGCGAUCCUCCCCAUGGGCAGAACUUUGCGUGUUAAACCUGUUUGCCUACUUUGUGCUGAAGGAGAAGUGGCCCGAGGUUAAAAUACGUGUGGACUCGAAGUGGCAAAUGGCAUGACUAGCUAGUCAGGAGAAGAAGAGAGAGAGAGACCGGAAGACUGGGGACCAGAAUUUUGGGGUAGAGGCAUGAGGAUGCACAUGUGAGAGUGGAACGAAGUGUGAAGAUAAUUUUCUCACAUGUUAGCACCCAACAGGGAACGUCCACCAUGGAACAGCCAUCAGUGAUUUGGCCAGUUGACACUGGUCAACCUCAGUGCAGGUCAACCACAAUUGGCACAUGGACAGGGUAGCCAUGUGGCAGAGAGGGAGGCUAUGCAUGGACUCAUAAUUACAGACUCCCUCUUACCAGGGCUGUUGUAGCUACUGUGACUGUCAAAUGUUCAACCUGCCAGCAACGGAGACCAACGCCCAGCCCCUGAUUAGGUGUUACACCUUGAGGAGACCAACUGGCCGCUUGGUGGCAAGUUUACUACGUUGGGCCCCUUCCAUCACAGGAGGGCUGGAGGUUUGCCUGAUAGGAAUAGACACAUACUGCAGGUACAGGUUCGCCUGUGUUCUCGCAGAGCUUCAGGUAGUAUCGCUAUUUGAGCAUCCCACGGUAGGUGGCUAUUUCUAUGAAUGUUUGUGUACAUUUUUUGUGUGUGGACAUAAAUUUUCAUUCCUCUGCAAUAAAUGCCCAGGAGCACAAUUUCUAGGGCAUGUGGUAAGUGAAAGAUAUUUUUCCUAGCUAUAGGACAGCACCGUGGGCCCUUCACCCUAAAUCCACUUCCUGAAGAAUCAGCGCUGUGGACAGGGGUGCGUCCUCCUGGAGUUUCUGUGCCAUCUCACUCUGGGGGACGGGAUGGGUGCAGGGCUCCUUCAGCGGGGAGGAUCCCUGAGGGCGUCUGGAGGACCCCCCCAUCCAUGUCCUCACUGGGCCACCUGCCCCUUUCAAGCCUGGCCCGGUGGGCAGGUGUGUCUUGCAGUCGCCCCAAGGAUUCCUCUGUGAAGGAACCCCCUAAUGGCAGAGUGAGGAGUUUGGAGAUCACACUGCCUGCCUUCUUUCCUUUUCAUGGUAGGCAUGCCAUGAUGGCCCUGAGGUUCGACGACAGCCCAAUUGGCUGACAGUUUUGUCUCUUGGAAGCUCAGAUAGGAGCAAAAAUUCAGAAGGACGUGAGUUCUCCUGCCUGUCUCCAGAGCCAUGCUUCAGCCUCCGCUAGCAGACCGUGGCCGGCCACAUUCCUGCCGACAGUCCCUGUGAUGUUUUGACUUGAUGCUCAUUCCAUGCUCAUGCCUGACCACUAGGUUCCGUCUGCUGUGGCUUCAGAAUGAUUGAUGUCACUUCUUCCACUGUGGAAAAAUCUCAGGAGCCUCAAAGAUCAAGGGCCGAAAGGAAAGCAUGUGGGAGGCCACUGACAGUUUGUGUAGAGGGGAAAAACAUUAUUCACAGCAGGCAGUCCAUCCUGGGGCUGUGGACUCGGGCCAUUGCACGGAGCUCCGGCUUUGCGGUGAAACGGGGAUGUGUCAUGCACAAGCACGACCAAGACCGGCGAAGGUGUGGAGGCCGAGGGAGAUUUUCCAAGGCUGCCUCCAUGUGCUUGGUCGUCACUCCACUGCAGGCGUGGUCCACCGCCCGGCCUUUUGCCAUCUGAGACCCAUAUUUCCCACUGUGUCUAGCACGAUGCCUGACAACAGGCUUUCCACCAUCCGGGACAUCCACCCUGCUCCUGCUCAUUCUCUUUUGCUGACUACUCUCCUGCUUCCUGACUUCUUCUCACAGAUAUGCACACAUACAUAAAAGCUUCAGCGUAUCGUUUUUUAAAAAUAAAAUGUAUUGUUUCUAAACUUUCAAAAAUGAAUGAUAUGUGCAUGAUUGAAAAUGAAAAACACAAAGAGCGAAGAACACGGAAAUCAGCCGUCAUCACGAGCAGUUUACACUGACCCUGCCCUGCUGAGUUCUUCCGCACGUGGACACACACGCUUGAACACAUCUUCUUGUGUAGUUGAGAUCACGUAGCACGGAUCAUGCUUUUCCACACAUCAUGUUUCAGAUACAGACCUAAGAUGGGGACCACAGCAACAUCAAACAGAUGGCAUACGUGCAGUGGAACGAAGGCUGCGGUCUGAACCUGUCUUCUCAGCAGGAACAUUCUGGCCCAGAACCUUCCCCUUCUCACUGCUGUCAGCCGAGUGGGCAAGUAAAUAUACGCAUCUGUGACGUUUAGAGGGAAUUUGAACAAUUUCCACAAGUCACUUUUUGGAAGACUGUUUUUCCUAUGAAUUUUAACACAAAAUGUACAAACCAGCUUACUAACUCUACUUUUGUAGGCACUGGCAACCUCUUUAACAUCUAGAAAGACUGGGUAUUAUAAAAUUAGGACUCACUUGUCCCUGAUAUAAACUAUAUGCACAGCAAAGGAAAACGAAAUGCAGACCCACGGGACAGUGGUCAAGCUCGCCUUACGACAGACACGUUGGCACAGAGCCCUCUGCUCUUCCCUCUCAUCUGUCUUCUCUCAAACCGGGACACAAAGGCAAUGUGCCCUGUCCAAAGAGGCCGUUCCAUUUCCUAAGGACACUGCUUCUAAUGAAUCUUAACAAAAAGACAUUUAGAAAAUGUGUCACUUUACUGCUGUGCUUUUCACAUUUUUCAGGUACUUUAGAGCAUCAGGAAAGAUCAGAUAUCUCAAAAAAGUACUUGUUGUGGUCAACUCCAUGUGCCUUAGUGAAGAAUAAAAUGGGCAUGCAGAACAAGGGUUAUAGGGUGAAGAUGUCUUCUAAAUAGGACUUCUGUGGCACAGACCACUUCUGAACUCUGAGCUCAGCUGUAGCCCAAAUUCUGGAGCUUUCACAGACCCCCUAGAGCUCAUUCUAGAGGUUCCUUCUAGAGGGUCACAGAGUUCAGGCUAAGAUUUUUAUGCACUUCUUACUCCUUCCACAAUGGAUUCGCUAAAGGAGAGAAGGCCUCCAGCUAACCCUUUUAGUGCUUUCCAACUGGGGCUCUGCCUUGGAGAAGUGCAUUUCCAGUUAUUGAGCCAUCGUUUUGCCCUGGGUCUCCUCCCAGGAGAGAAAAGCGUUUGACUCCCAAGGUUCCCGGCAUUUUUGAAAGAACUCUAAGCCACAGCCAGCUUUACCCUGGCAAGUCAUUCCAUCCCCUUUCUUUCCCUCUUUCCUUUCCCAUGGAACGACUCCUUCCAUCUGUCUUUCAAACUCUGCUUUAUAAAUAGGAAUUCAAGUUUUAUUUUCUUCUUGAAUGCACUCUCUCCGUGAAAGAGGCUUUCCACCAAGAAUGUGGUGUCUGAUCGCUAUCUUGCCAACGGGUUUAACAAAGAUCUCCAUGGUGGGUAAACUUUUUACAGAUCUAUUCACACAUGCCUCUUCUUCUCGCACUUGGCUAAAACCAACAACACAUUCAUCAAAGAAGAAGGGGUGAAAAAAUCCUUCUCCAAGGUAAUUGAGAAAUAACUUUGACAGAAUUUGAUAAAAUUAUCUCCAUUUUCCAUCUGGUUUUUCUGGAAGGCAUUAAUUCAGAUAGACACUGAGCACAAAGCAGGUCAUAGAUCUACAUAUGUGAAAAGUAUAAGUGAAUACAUCUACUCAGGCUAUUUAUCACCAAAUGUUCAAUAAUCUGAAGUUCGAAAAACUCAGCUAAUAACUGGUAUGUGCUGAAAGUUUUCAAAAAACUAAGAGCAUCUAGCUCGAGAGAAGACCAACGACACAGAAACUCAUUCAGGAGAAUUUAAAACAGAAGAGGAGGAAAGUGCGCACUGGAGACUGUACCUACUGACAAGAUCGGGCUGGUUGGCAUGCACCCCUGACAGCUUAAACACUGGACAAAUGGGAAGCAGCUGCCCAGCCCAGAGGCCUCCUGUGGAUUACGUUCAUCUGUGCGGCAAACAGCAACAGCUCUGUUAUAUUCUUUCUAAGCCAGGGGUUCUCACUUUGACCACAUGUUAGAAUCGUCAGUGGAGCUUAAAUGCCCCAUAGCAGAGUCUCUGGGUACGGCCGUGUAUCAGCAUGUGUAUUUUAAGCUGCCCAGGUAAUUCCAAUAUGCUGGCAAGGUUGAGAACUCCUUGAUGAAAAUUCAUAAUUUAUUAAGCACCUCUCAUGUGUCAGGCACGUGUCCGGUACUGUGUCAGAUGCUGUUAUGGACUGAACAUUUAUGUUGCCCCCAAAUUCAUAUGUCAAUGAAGGUUUUGGUGAUGGAAUUUGGAGGUGGGAUCUGAGGGAGGUGAGUAGGUCAUGAGGGUGGAGCCCCCAUGUUGGGAUUAGCGCCCUGAUAAGAAGAGCUACUAGAAGCUUGCUUCUUCUCUCUACUCUCCACCACGUGAAGACACAACAAGACAGACGAGGGCCAUCUGCAAAUCAGGACGCGGCUCUCACCAGACUCUGGAUCUGCUGGCACCUGGGUCUUGGACUUCCAGCCUCCAAUAGGCCCUAGCGACCACCGUGUCACUCUCUGCUUCUAUGAGAUUGAUGUUUUGAGGUUCCACAUAUAGAGUCACCACCCAAGCAAACCUGAAGAUUGUGUAGCCACCCAAUUCUGUGUAUUUCCCAGAGCCAGUUGUAGGUCCCUCUGGUUGUGCUACUUGGGACGCCACCUCAGCAUGGCUUGAUGAGCAGUGCCAUGUCCGCGCCCAGGAUCUUA
rnacentral:lncRNA from 1 species